GAGGUUGCAAGAAGAUUCAUCCACAGUGUAUUCAAGAGUAAUUUGGAGUUUGUGCCAGUUCUAGCCAGCCUAUUCAGUGGCUGGAUAAGUUGCAUUACUUCAACAUUU